GGACAAGUCCCCAGAGCAGGUGUAAAAGUCCACAUACUUGGGCAGCAUUGUGGACACUGUGGCAGGGACAGAGGCUGAACAACGAGCUCCAGAAGAUCACAACACCACUCACAGAGUUUCUACGGGUCCUUGAAAAGUCUUUCUGAAAAAUAUGAGGACUGAGUGGUUGGCAGAGGACAAAGAGGUGACUUGGCAGGUAUGACAUAAAGCUUUUAGAUACAGGAUAUGUAGUGAAAUAUGCCACACUUGUGCAGUUUGCUCUGUUGUGCAUGAGAAGAAUUAAAUUCUCUAAUUUUUAAACUUAUAUGUCCUAAAUUUGAUUUCAGAAAACACGCAGCAAGCCUAGUUCAAAAGAGGCUGAACUAAGAACAUCUAAAGAAGAGGAGACCUGGCAGAAAUGUCCAGAUGAGGACUGAAGUCAGGGGGUGAAGAAGGAGGGACAGCCAGUCACAGAGGAAAACAGAAAACAGUCCUGUGAGCAGCAAAGGACCCAGAGCCAACUAUGUCAAGUCUUAGGAGGAACCAGACCACCCACAGCAAACCCAUGC